rnacentral:rRNA from 1 species
AACGAACGCUGGCGGCAUGCCUAACACAUGCAAGUCGAACGAGACCUUCGGGUCUAUUGGCGCACGGGUGCGUAACGCGUGGUAACCUGCCCUUAGGUUCGGAAUAACUCCCCGAAAGGGGUUCUAAUACCGGUUAAUGUCUUCGGACCAAAGAUUUAUCGCCCUUGGAUGGGCCCGCGUUGGCUUAGCUAGUUGGUAGGGUCAAAGCCUACCAAGGCGACGAUCCAUAGCUGGUCUGAGAGGAUGCUCAGCCACACUGGGACUGCGCCACGGCCCAGACUCCUACGGGCGGCAGCAGUGGGGAAUACUGGACAAUGGGCGCAAGCCUGAUCCAGCAAUGCCGCGUGAGUGAUGAAGGGCUUAGGAGUGUAAAGCCCUAUUACCCGGGAUGAUAAUGACAGUACCGGGAGAAUAAGCUCCGGCUAAAUCCGUG